UUUACUCAGUCAAAACAUUAAUUGAGUAAUGUGUUUUUUCAAAAUGCCAUGAAAUUAGCUAACCAAAAUAAGGGCUUUAUCUUGCGACAUAUUCCAAGUCAGUAUGAUUAUCCCUGACUAUUUCCUAGGGACCGUUUUAUUAUGCUGCAAGUUACUUUCAAAAUAUCCCCUCCCUCCCCGUUGUAACUGAUAUUAAUUUUCCCAACAAUUUUCUGGUGUGUAAUAUUUUUCUAAUUUUUUUUCAUUUCAGAUGCUAGAUCAUGAGCUAACCAAUUAAAUAUAAUUAAUCUUCUAAAAUACUUCAUUAUUAACAGCAGCAGUGCUCUUCACAUCAGGAUGUCCCAGACUUUUUCUUUGCUUCCAGGCUCACAGGUUUCCAGUGAUGUUUUCGUGGUCGUACAAAGUACGCAGGCAGUACCUUUUCUCAGCUCCCAAAGAGACAAGAGGUGACGCUGGUGUCGUGCCAUCUUGCUACAAACCUUCCCUUCCAGGGGGGCUUUCGUCUCGGUGUGUCUGAAGAGCAGGUCAUUACAAAGCCACGGCAGCCAGAGGCGGACGUGAGGGUGCAGCAAUGGAAAGAGUCGAUCACUGGAGCCAGGGAUGGAAAAUGAAUGCAGCAUCAGCUGCGGCAACAAUAGCAUUUAGCGACGUUAGACAGCUCCGUGAGGCUGCGGGAAUGAAGAAGCCCAGACAACAGCCACCCUCCCUUAAGUCCUGCCUGAGACUGAUGUGGGGACAUUAUGCUGUGCCUCCCCGGCCCGGCCUUCUCGCCGUUUCCAGCUCUGCCAUAGGGAGCUGCUCUCCGUGUCUCGAUUCUGCCUUGAUCCUCUUCUGUUUCUCCUGCCACACAUUACUAAAUGCACCCGCACUAAAAUCAAUGGGAGUUUGAAAACUAAAAGUAAUGUGUGCUUUGGUAUGCUACUAAUCCACUUAUUUGGAUCCUCUUACUGCUCCUCUGGGCUGCCCUGAUCCUCUCUAUCAGCCCACCCAGCUGCUCUGAUCUGCUCUCUAA